rnacentral:rRNA from 1 species
CUGCCUAUUAGUGGGGGACAACAUUCCGCAUUGAAUGCUAAUACCGCAUACGUCCUACGGGAGAAAGCAGGGGACCUUCGGGCCUUGCGCUAAUAGAUGAGCCUAAGUCGGAUUAGCUAGUUGGUGGGGUAAAGGCCUACCAAGGCGACGAUCUGUAGCGGGUCUGAGAGGAUGAUCCGCCACACUGGGACUGAGACACGGCCCAGACUCCUACGGGAGGCAGCAGUGGGGAAUAUUGGACAAUGGGGGGAACCCUGAUCCAGCCAUGCCGCGUGUGUGAAGAAGGCCUUAUGGUUGUAAAGCACUUUAAGCGAGGAGGAGGCUACUAGUAUUAAUACUACUGGAUAGUGGACGUUACUCGCAGAAUAAGCACCGGCUAACUCUGUGCCAGCAGCCGCGGUAAUACAGAGGGUGCGAGCGUUAAUCGGAUUUACUGGGCGUAAAGCGUGCGUAGGCGGCCAUUUAAGUCAAAUGUGAAAUCCCCGAGCUUAACUUGGGAAUUGCAUUCGAUACUGGAUGGCUAGAGUAUGGGAGAGGAUGGUAGAAUUCCAGGUGUAGCGGUGAAAUGCGUAGAGAUCUGGAGGAAUACCGAUGGCGAAGGCAGCCAUCUGGCCUAAUACUGACGCUGAGGUACGAAAGCAUGGGGAGCAAACAGGAUUAGAUACCCUGGUAGUCCAUGCCGUANACGAUGUCUACUAGCCGUUGGGGCCUUUGAGGCUUUAGUGGCGCAGCUAACGCGAUAAGUAGACCGCCUGGGGAGUACGGUCG